rnacentral:rRNA from 1 species
UACAGAGGUCUCAAGCGUUGUUCGGAUUCAUUGGGCGUAAAGGGUGCGUAGGUGGCGCGGUAAGUCGGGUGUGAAAUCUCGGAGCUUAACUCCGAAAUUGCAUUCGAUACUGCCGUGCUCGAGGACUGGAGAGGAGACUGGAAUUCAUGGUGUAGCAGUGAAAUGCGUAGAGAUCAUGAGGAAGACCAGUGGCGAAGGCGGGUCUCUGGGCAGUACCUGACACUGAGGCACGAAAGCCAGGGGAGCAAACGGG